GGCUCAGGAUGAACGCUAGCGGCAGGCUUAACACAUGCAAGUCGAGGGGUAGAGGAAGCUUGCUUCCUUGAGACCGGCGCACGGGUGCGUAACGCGUAUACAAUCUACCUUUACAGAGGGAUAGCCCAGAAGUAAAUUUGGAUUAAUACCUCAUAGUAUUUUCGAAUCGCAUGGUUUGAUUAUUAAAGUUCCAACGGUAAAAGAUGAGUAUGCGUCCCAUUAGCUAGAUGGUAAGGUAACGGCUUACCAUGGCAAUGAUGGGUAGGGGUCCUGAGAGGGAGAUCCCCCACACUGGUACUGAGACACGGACCAGACUCCUACGGGAGGCAGCAGUGAGGAAUAUUGGACAAUGGGCGCAAGCCUGAUCCAGCCAUGCCGCGUGCAGGAAGACGGUCCUAUGGAUUGUAAACUGCUUUAUACAGGAAGAAACACUCCCUCGUGAGGGAACUUGACGGUACUGUAUGAAUAAGCAUCGGCUAACUCCGUG
rnacentral:rRNA from 1 species